rnacentral:lncRNA from 1 species
GGGCUACAGCCUGACGGUUGCCCUGAACAUUAGUCACAGCUUGGUCUAGCGCCUGGAAAGCUGCCUGAAACUCUACAUAUAACACACUCUCAUUCUCAAGAUCUACUAGCUGAGGGGGUUGAUCAUCAACCCCACAGACUAAAUCUCUGUGAGGAGGCUACUCUGUAAAUGGAAAAAAAAAAGUGGAUGAAACUAAGAACCAACUUGAGCUCAUGCUCACUCG